GAUGAACGCUGGCGGCGUGCCUAACACAUGCAAGUCGAACGGAGUUUAACGCUGAUGAAGCUUCGGCAGAUUCUUGUUAAACUUAGUGGCGGACGGGUGAGUAACGCGUGGGUAACCUGCCUCAUACAGGGGGAUAGCAGUUGGAAACGACUGAUAACACCGCAUAAGCGCACAGGAUCGCAUGAUCUAGUGUGAAAAUAUUUAUAGGUAUGAGAUGGACCCGCGUCUGAUUAGCUAGUUGGUGAGGUAACGGCCCACCAAGGCGACGAUCAGUAGCCGGCCUGAGAGGGCGGACGGCCACAUUGGGACUGAGACACGGCCCAAACUCCUACGGGAGGCAGCAGUGGGGGAUAUUGCACAAUGGGCGAAAGCCUGAUGCAGCGACGCCGCGUGAGUGAAGAAGUAUUUCGGUAUGUAAAGCUCUAUCAGCAGGGAAGAAAGACCUUCGUAAGAGGGAUGACGGUAC
rnacentral:rRNA from 1 species